rnacentral:lncRNA from 1 species
CUCUGCUUCUGUCCUAGAGGUUCGAAACCUCUAAUUUUGUAUUUUUUCUUUAUGAUGAUUUUUCUUCGUUCUCUUGUACUUAAAAAUUAUAUAAUCAAUGAAAUCAGAUUCUUCUUUAUAGAGAGCUUCCUUUUUUUUCUUCUGCAUUCUUUCCCUUCUCUUUUGUCUUCUUGCACUAAUUUGAGUCGUGGCGCUCUUGUCUCCCAACGA